UACGUAGGUGACAAGCGUUGUCCGGAUUUACUGGGCGUAAAGGGCGCGUAGGCGGACAGUUUAGUCAGAGGUGAAAGCCCAGGGCUCAACCUUGGAAUUGCCUUUGAUACUGGCUGUCUUGAGUUCGGGAGAGGUGAGUGGAAUGCCGAGUGUAGAGGUGAAAUUCGUAGAUAUUCGGCGGAACACCAGUGGCGAAGGCGACUCACUGGCCCGAUACUGACGCUGAGGCGCGAAAGCGUGGGGAGCAAACAGG
rnacentral:rRNA from 1 species